rnacentral:rRNA from 1 species
UACGGAGGGGGCAAGCGUUAUUAGGAAUUAUUGGGCGUAAAGGGCGCGUAGGCGGCUAGAUGUGUCAAAGGUGAAAUCCCUCGGCUCAACUGAGGAACUGCCUUUGAAACUGUCUGGCUUGAGGCCGGGAGAGGGUAGCGGAAUUCCCAGUGUAGCGGUGAAAUGCGUAGAUAUUGGGAGGAACACCAGUGGCGAAGGCGGCUACCUGGACCGGUUCUGACGCUGAGGCGCGAAAGCGUGGGUAGCAAACAGG